GUUAUCACUUAGAUAUAGUUGCUCCAAUCGUGUAUUGUUCUUAAGCAACCACGAUGGAAACAUUCCAGUGAUGUUGUAGGAGAGAUCAAGGACUCUUAAGUCAUAUUGGUGAUAGAGGAAGGUGGGAAUUUCUAC